rnacentral:rRNA from 1 species
GCAAGUCGAGCGGGGAAGGUUGCUUCGGUAACUAACCUAGCGGCGGACGGGUGAGUAAUGCUUAGGAAUCUGCCUAUUAGUGGGGGACAACAUUCCGAAAGGAAUGCUAAUACCGCAUACGCCCUACGGGGGAAAGCAGGGGAUCUUCGGACCUUGCGCUAAUAGAUGAGCCUAAGUCGGAUUAGCUAGUUGGUGGGGUAAAGGCCUACCAAGGCGACGAUCAGUAGCUGGUCUGAGAGGACGAUCAGCCACACUGGGACUGAGACACGGCCCAGACUCCUA